GCCUUGCACGCGAGCAAGAUCCCUCUCCGCUUUCUCCGCCUUGAAGCGGUAGACCAUGGCUUCUCUAUGGCCCGCCUCAAUGGCCGAGCCCAGCAAGCUCAGGCCCUGCAAAAUUGAUUGGCAUGUUAUAAAUAUAUACAUGGGACAAUCACCAAAAAAUUCUCAAAAAAAAACUAACCCCAUUGAUGAUGCGAGAUCCUUCCGCAACGACUCUCGGCCUCGCCGAUUCUUUCAUAGGAGGAGGAGCAUCGAAA
rnacentral:lncRNA from 1 species